rnacentral:rRNA from 1 species
UGGGGAAUAUUGGACAAUGGGCGCAAGCCUGAUCCAGCCAUGCCGCGUGAGUGAUGAAGGCCCUAGGGUUGUAAAGCUCUUUCACCGGUGAAGAUAAUGACGGUAACCGGAGAAGAAGCCCCGGCUAACUCCGUGCCAGCAGCCGCGGUAACACGAAGGGGGCUAGCGUUGUUCGGAUUUACUGGGCGUAAAGCGCACGUAGGCGGACUUUUAAGUCAGGGGUGAAAUCCCGGGGCUGAACCCCGGAACUGCCGUUGAUACUGGAAGUCUUGAGUAUGGUAGAGGUGAGUGGAAUUCCGAGUGUAGAGGUGAAAUUCGUAGAUAUUCGGAGGAACACCAGUGGCGGAGGCGGCUCACUGGGCCAUUACUGACGCUGAGGUGCGAAAGCGGGGGGGGCAAACAGG